rnacentral:rRNA from 1 species
AGAACGAACGCUGGCGGCGCGCUUAACACAUGCAAGUCGAACGCACCGGUUUCGGCCGGUGAGUGGCGGACGGGUGAGUAACGCGUGGGAACCUGCCCUUUGGUCUGGGAUAACCGCGGGAAACCGCGGCUAAGACCGGAUAUUCCCGUGAGGGGAAAGACAUGUCGCCGAAGGAUGGGCCCGCGUCGGAUUAGGUAGUUGGUGGGGUAAAGGCCUACCAAGGCGACGAUCCAUAGCUGGUCUUAGAGGAUGAUCAGCCACACUGGGACUGAGACACGGCCCAGACUCCUACGGGAGGCAGCAGUGGGGAAUAUUGGACAAUGGGCGAAAGCCCGAUCCAGCAAUGCCGCGUGAGUGAUGAAGGCCUUAGGGUUGUAAAGCUCUUUUACCCGGGAUGAUAAUGACAGUACCGGGAGAAUAAGCUCCGGCUAACUCCGUGCCAGCAGCCGC